rnacentral:piRNA from 1 species
CCCCCACCGUCAGCACCCAAAGCUGA